rnacentral:rRNA from 1 species
UGGGGAAUAUUGGACAAUGGGCGCAAGCCUGAUCCAGCAAUGCCGCGUGAGUGAAGAAGGCCUUCGGGUUGUAAAGCUCUUUUAGUCGGAAAGAAAGAGUUGCAAUGAAUAAUUGUGAUUUAUGACGGUACCGACAGAAUAAGCCACGGCUAACUACGUGCCAGCAGCCGCGGUAAUACGUAGGGUGCGAGCGUUAAUCGGAAUUACUGGGCGUAAAGGGUGCGCAGGCGGUCUUGCAAGUCAGAUGUGAAAGCCCCGGGCUUAACCAGGGAAUUGCGUUUGAAACUACAAGACUAGAGUUCAGCAGAGGGGAGUGGAAUUCCAUGUGUAGCAGUGAAAUGCGUAGAGAUGUGGAAGAACACCGAUGGCGAAGGCAGCUCCCUGGGUUGACACUGACGCUCAUGCACGAAAGCGUGGGGAGCAAACA